UUCCUCAUGGCCCAAUGGUCAAGGCGUCUGGCUACGAUAACCAGAAGAUUCCAGGUUCGACUCCUGGUGGGGAAG